UUAGGAUUAUCGUAGAGGAUAUCAUUUAGGACAUGGAAUGUCAUUUAAUAAACAAGUCUGGUUUUGUAAAAUUCGACCUUCAUUAAUAGUAAGCUGUUAUUUACUAAACGGCAUCCCUUAAUUACCUACAGGUAUUCUUAGCUUUUUUAGAUCUGGCUACUUUUCGAUGGCAGCAGCACUGUCUGCCAUGUGGCGACGAAGCCCCACAGCCAGAGCCAGUGCUCCCCCGCUCUCCGCUCCAUGCCUCUAGCGGUUCGCUCGCGAACAUGACUAAGCCAAACAACUUGACAACACUGUCGGGAAUUGUUGCUGCUUUUGAGUCAAUUCAUAAGAAACGAGGAAACCCGCCGCCAUAUCGUUGUUGCUGCCGUAUUUAUUUACGUACACAUGCCUGUGUAUUAUAUGCAUGUGAGUUUGCUGGUGUGUUGGCAUGAGCAUGAAUCAAGUUAAAAAUUUUAAUAAUUUUGCCCGAUGUUGUGGUUGAAAACGAGUUUAGCUUGUUGAGCUUGGAUGUGUGUUCGUCGUCUUCUCUUCUUCUUGCUCCAGCUUGGACACUGCGAUAAUAUUUUACACUCAUGCACACAUACAUUUACAGAACGACGAACAGAAGAGCUUGAUAAGCGCUUUGUGCGCCAUCUCCCUCUUUGGAAAUUGUAUGGCAAGGGGAAAGGGUAGGCGGCUGUGACGUACCCGUGUCUCACUGUUAUUGUUGUUGCCCACUCAGCCGUGCUGAAGUGUUAUAGGAAAUCAAAUUAAGGCGAUUAAAGAGCGAGUGCAUGCGCUCUCGAACGAAAAAAAAGAGAGAGAGAGAGAGUGACGAUCGCUCUUGACGGAAGAUAGAAGAUGACUGCUUAAGUGGGGCAUUUGAGAAGAUUGAUACCCUACGAUGAUAAUUACUGUCUAUCCUUUGCCUAUCUUAUAUAUACCCUUUUGUACUUUUAUGGUAUAGUUCUGCUUUAUCUUUAUAAACAAAAUGCUAAUGCAUGCUUUGAACAGUAAUAUUAGUUUUUUAUGUAAAAGGAAAGUUAAUAAGAUUUAUUUUUACAUUUUUUCGUGUUGAAAUGCACACAAAGUACGUACUAUUUACUGGUCAACCCAUAGUGUCCAAGAACUGAUAAGGCUAGGACAAAGACAUCUUGCCUUUGAGCAGAACUUUGUCAUUUGCUGAUAAGUUUGAAAGCGAUUCGAGCCAAGUCGGUAUACAGUUUCAUUUAUUUAUUAUUUACUUAAAAUGGGUUUCCAGUGCAGAAUAUUGAUAUAAACAAGCACAGCGUUAAACUGGCAAUAUAUUAUGGGGAAUUGCGAAAACAAUUCUCGAAAAGUGCUCUGACGUCGGUCUCUUGACUAAUCUGGCGUGCUUUUCGAGAAAUAGAUUUCGAUUUCGGAGGCUUAUCAAUCGACGAGGCGUGGACUCUUCAUUCGUGGAAAGUGAAAGGUCAAGGUACGCUUACGGAAAUUGGUAAAUAGAUAAGACAUUUCGAUGGAAUAUUUGUUUGGGUCUAGGUCUAUAAGCCUCUUUGCAGGAGAUCCAUUUCGUUUAUCUAUCGUCGAAUGAGUAAGCAGUAUAUUAAGCGAUUUGGCGUACACAACAAAAUUCUCGGCAUAUUAUACACUUUUCACAUUAGCACGGAAAUUCCCAAAUUUUGUUUGACGUCAGCAGAGAAAAUUUGUAAAAAUUUCUCGAGAGUAGAAAUAAUGUUCUUUCGGUACUGAAAUGUUUUCCGAUUGCCAAGGUCUCUGGGUUUACAUUGUACGUAGGUGAAAAAUCUGUAUAAACAAAAUUGAUUUUUGGCACAGCGAAACAAAACAGUUUAAACAAUAUAAUUUAGCACUUUUUAGACAUGCCUUUAUAGAUUUAUGGACUCUUAAAAUAUAUUUAAUUUAAUUAAGUUGCCUAAAGGAAAAGCUUUAAAACUUAAAAAAAAACAUUCAAUUUUGCAAAUGAAUAAUCAUAUAUUCUCGAAUAUUAUUAUGAUUAUUGCUUGGGGGCGCGAUAAUCGUAAAUAUGAAAUGAGUUCAAAGUAAAUAUCGACUUAUUUCCUUCUCCCCAUUGCGAAAUUUGUAUGAGAACCCCUUUAAAUAUAGGAAUUCGUGGCCAAAAGUGUUAAAUAAUUGCCAGGCCAACAAUUUUUUGUUUACACACAAAGCGAAACGAAACGGCAGAAGAUCAAGAAAAGCAGACAGAAAUCGUUCGAUAAUUUGUGUUUAUUUUUAUUUUCCACUGUCUUUGACUUUUGACUUUGCUCUGCUGGCUGAUAGAAUGUGAUUUUCACGAUUUUCUCGAUUUUCUUGAUUUUCAAUUUUGUUUUGGUGCCGCCGCCUCGCUAGAAAAGUAUUUUUAAAUGCUCCAACUACGUAAGACGACAUUCAAGUGUUUUAUUUUAGACAGUAGACGGUAUAGAGCCAACUAGUCGUCUAUAUAUACACACACAUUGGCGUCUAUAUAUCUGCAUAAAUAUUUUUAGUUGCCUCUAUUGGCCUUUUGCGUUAGCACAUUUUUGUUAAAUAUUAUCUAUUUGUAUUAUGCUUUAUGACAGCCAAAUGGAAAACUCGAAUCACUUCGAUUACGCAAUUUGGCGCAGCCCAUAACGAUCAUAAUUCAAUUUCGAAUCUUGAAACAUUUUUGAUAUUUCAAACUUUAUGGCGCCGCAAAAGCAAAGAAUUUUUUUUUUUUUGCUCUAAUGUCACGUUAUUUCGUAUUUCGGGGGCUAAUUAAAUUAAACUGUUUAUAAAUACUUGUGCUCUAUCAAAGGCCACCAAAACAAACGAUUAAAGAAAAGAAUCUCCAAAUCGUGCAUUCGAGCGCAAACAAAAAUGUUUCCCAGCGCCAAGCCAUCAAAAUAAUUUUUCACAAAUUGUGUGCGUUGUUCUUUCUUGAGACUUUUUUUAUUUUUUUUUUCUUCUUUCUGCUUGUCUUGGCGUUUUGGCAUUUGAAGGACGGAAAUACGUUGGCGGCGUUGUGAAUUUUUGCAUAUUAGCAAAAAGUGAGAAAAAGAAAUAGCCAUAAAUACACAAAAAUUUUGAUAAAUUCAAAGCGCUUACGUAGGCAACUCAUGGGGCUAUGCGAAUGAUUCGCUUCGAUUCAAUUCGAUUCGAUUCGAAUUGAGCCGAUGAAAUGUAUGCACAGGCAUGCGCAUUGGGCGUGAAAAAAAAAAAUGGUAACAGAUUUCCAGACUCGCACCCAAAGUAUCUGUAUCUGUGUCUGUGUCUGUGGCUGUGAGUGCGGAGUAUCUGUUGCUCUGUAGCUCUGUUGUCAAGGUCAUGACUGCUCUUUAGGGGUUGCCCCGUCGAUAAACAUGUGUCGUCAUUCCCCAGGCGGCAGGGCAUUCCUCAAAACUCACAAGCGGCACACAGGCAGCAAAAGGCGGAACGUAUUAUAACUGUUGCAUGUUUAAUUGUUCGCAAAACACUUGAGAGCAGCGCAGUGUUAAGACCCUGAGAUACGUACGUGUACAGUGAAACUCCGCCAUGGGGAACCGCAAACUGAAGUAUUGACAAUCUGAUUUCUAAGUGAUUGUAUAUAGUUUCUAAAAAUCGGUAAAUGCUUAAUAUAACUUCUGUGGCAUAGUUUCUAAAGAUUUCAAGCAGCAAAUGUGUGAGUUCGGUUCGAAACUUGCAACACAUUGGUGUCAUGCUAGAAGUUUCCACUGUGGCAGCAGGAACAGCAACAGCGAUUUCGGCUGAACGCCCCGUGGUGCAGUCUUAAGUGGAUUUCCACCUUAAGUUGCAUUAGUAUCGAUGUUGUUGCUGCUCACGUUGCACACCGAUGUGGUUGUUGUUGCUGCUGCUGCUGCCGCCGCUGCUGGCGUGUCAAUGACGUUGCAAGCCUUUUGUUUGUCUUUCUACCUAGCCAGGUAUCCUGGCGCCGGCUUAAUUUACGAAAAGGUAAAGGUAAACGGCAGGUAAAACGCCUCAAAGUAGUUCAAGUCCAAUCAGCAUGCUCUCCCGCUCGCGCACGCACACCAGCCAAUGCACC
rnacentral:sRNA from 1 species